GUUAGAAUAUAGCAGUUUUUAUGAUAGUUCUAACUAUGUAUGGUUGCACUGCUGUCCUCGAAUCAGAAUUUUACCUAUGGGUUUCAAAGGGUGGCAGCCCAGUUAAGCCUCACAACGCUUUCUCCAGUUCUCCUUGCUCUGCCAUGUUAACAAGGAGACCAGCAGCCAGGAGAAAAAGUAGCAGCCAGUGACUCAUUUUCCAUUUGGCCUGGAGGCCCUGCUGCUGCCCAUUGUUGUCUGUCCUCUGAAGUAUCAGCCCAGGAGGCUGCUGGGGUGGCGGAAAGCAAGGAAGAAGUCCUGGGUGGGUGGGGACUUGGGCGCUGAAGUCACUGGGGCACUGUCUGGCCACUGUGAGUACCUGGGGAAGUCCUGAGUUCAGCGUGAGCUGGUGCUUAAGAAUAUGUGGAGCUGCAAUGGAAGGUGAAAAGACAAGAAGAAAAAGAGAGAGAGAGAGAGAGAGAGGGAGGGAGGAGAAAACAUAAGGAAAAAUUUUAUGAUCAAGGAAAAGAGCUUUCGAAACUCCAGUGCAAAGGCCAUGGGUUCAAUACCCAGUACUGCAAAAACCAGCUAUACAGCACUUCCCAUUUUAUAGUAAAAAGAGAAGAUACAAGCUGCUAUAAAUGUGGAGACACAAUGUCCCCCAAAGGCACACAUGGUAAAGUGUGGUCCCUAGUUUGGCAUUGGUAGGAAGCUGGGCUGAGUGGGCAGUCUGCUGGUCACUGGGAGUUAGCCCUCAAAGGAGACAGCAGGACACAGCCCCUUCCUCAUGCUCUCGUUCAGGAGCCUCGAAGUGACAGGUUUUGACUGCUGCGUUCCUCUGCCGUGACGUACGGCCUUGUCAUAGGCCCAAAGCAAUGAGGCCAAGAGAUCUUGGACUGGCACCUCUGAAAUUGUGAGUCAGAAUAAAUCUUUCUUUUUAUAAGUUGAUUGCUUUAGCAUUUGUUUCAUUAAUGGAGAGCAAAAAACACCAGCUAAUAACCUUUGUGUGUAUUGCAUUCAGCAUUCUUGGUGCGGAGUGCAAGCACCACCAGAAUGACAUGUGUGCGUGCGUCAGCCCCUCCACACAUCCUGAUCCAGAUCCCAGCCUGUGUGGCGCAGAAGGGACUUCGUGUGAGAUCUCCGUGUGACCAGACAGCUACAACUGAUGGUGAGAUCAUUUCCAGUCACUUUUUAAUCUGUUGGCAGCUGGCUUCUGAAGCUCCUUGACAGUCUUCCUCCCGAGUCCUACCUAAGCAGCCAGGACAGUUGAAAGUUUGCGUAUUGGUUUGUCAUUCUGAUUUUAUGGGUAACUUUGUAUCAUUUCCCUUUCUUUCCUCAUUUCUGUCUAUUAUGCUAGGGAGGAAGGUGACGCUCUACUUUCUCACAGUGGUUGCUAAGGGAGAAUCUCCUGUUUAUAGGCUCCUAACAAAUAGUGGCAGCUGAAAGACGAAUAUGGUGUUGUGUUUUCAGAGAGAAUGGAAGGAGGCCAGCAAUUAGCUGCAUCCAAGCGCGAACGCUCACAAUGAGGCCUUUGAGCGCGCUGGCUGGCAUCACACGUCCACAGACUGCUUGAGACAAUUCGGAAAGGUUUUUGCCUUAUGCCUUCAAUGGCAAGUUUAUUUCCAGAAAUCAGCCAGCGCUGUAUAACUUGAUAGGACUGUAAAAUAGCAUAGUCUUUUUUUGGAUCUCAAAGAAGCUCUGGCUUCACAGGAGCCAAAAUGCAGUGUGAUUUGUAUUCAUUUUCAAAACAAGAUCCUUUUACCUUUGGGUCAGAGGCUGGGAUGUCACAAACCAAUAAACGGACAGGUUCGUUCGUGUUCACCAUUCUUGCUUCUUUAUUUGGGAGGAUUUCCUUCAUUCUUUUGUUGCCUUAGAGCAGGAUGGUGGUGACAAGGCUGCAGUUUAGAAAAGCUUUUUGGGAAGAAAAGGGAAGAGAAUGGUGUCUUUCUAUAUAGCGCCAAUGUGUGUGUGUUGCAGUCUGAAUGUGUCCCCAAAGUUCAGCCUAAGACCUGGUGCAGCAGU
rnacentral:lncRNA from 1 species